AUGUGUGAUGUUAUGGUCCAAAAAUGGCAAGAAGAACUAUUGUUAUAAUAAUUGUCAGGCAAAAAAUGGUGGAAAUAUUACAAAAAAUGUUUAUACAUGGUUUUGGGUUCGUUCACGUAUUCCUAAGAAAAUAUGGAAUAAGUGUAUGGAUUAUAAAGUGAUGGAAAAUGGCGCUUUCGUGUGGUACAAAAUCAUUGGGGACAAUGAACUUCCAACAAAAGGUCGCUGUGAAAAGAGAAACCUUUACUUUAUCAAGGAAUGAUUGUUGUACCAGAUAAUGAAACUGCAAAGAAGAUUCCAAAAUUGAAGGGAUGAUUAUUUAUCGUGAAGAUAAAGAGAAACUUUAUGUCCAAGGAAAUAAGCAGUUAAAA